GGCUGGGAGAGCAAGGUGCGCACGUACAAGGACGUCUGGGACAGGGAGGCCUACAGGCCAUAAAUAUGUUGAGGCUAGGAAUAUUCAGCCAGGAAGAUGGAGUAGAAGUGGAGCAAUGCGACAUGGAUUGUGCAACAUGAACAGAGCUGCCGCUCCAAACAGAGAGAACAAGCUUGUGAACUUCAGGGGUUGUAUAUCUCUCCAAACCGCAGGUGCGGUACUUCUAUCUCCCUGUAAUUUUUAUGUGAUGCUUCAGAGAGCACUGGGCAAUGGAUUGAAUCCUCUCUACAUACUUGACUCACUACACUCAGGUCAGUGUCACUGGUUGUACAUGUUUGCUUCCACCGUGUGGGUGGCCACAACCACAAACUACUGUGGAACCUGGACCCUUGGGAUGUGGCCUCUCUUGCGAGCCAGGAAGAGAUGGUAGAAUAGAAACGUGGGGAGAUGGCCUGUCAAACCAGAAAUUAGUUUCCGCUACCUAACAGGAGUGAGAAAAUUGAAUUGAUCUCGAAGGCUUUUUUGUAUUCUCAUGAUGAUUCUACGUGGGGGUAGUUUAUACAUCUGUGGCGCGCUAGCAUGUGCUAAAUAAGUCUCGAUCGCGUAUUAGUUCAGUUGUGAUUUCAAAGUUUGAUGGUACAUAGUUUUUUAAUUGACAUUCUCUUAGUUCAGUUUGAGUGGCAGUAUAAAAAGUUGAUCAGCCCUUGCCAAGGACAAAAAGUCCAGCUCUUUAAUGAUGCUUCUUGUGUGUAUCCUUUUUUUAGUAUGAUUCUAGAUUCAAAUAUUCUUUUUCUAACUACAACUGUUUACCUAAAGGAUUACAUGCCACAAGGACUUCAAUAGUUGCAGUUAUCCUAUUGAUAGUCUUCACCAAUGCCCAUGCUAUCAACAUAUAUGGUUGCAUACCUUACAUUUUGCUAUUUGGAAGGGCUAUGGACCACAAUCAAUCGAAGAUAACGGAGGCUACGUAUGUUGCUGAGAAGCCUGAAUUUUAAUUCUACUGUAUUAGUCUCCAAUCCCUAUACACCAAAUACUAAGAAUUUCGAUAGUUGGAAUUCUGCAGAUGGUAUGUUCUGAACUUAUAGGUGAACUUGGAGAUGUUCCUAUGGAUCUCGAUUAUAUGCAAAUGUUCCCUUGGUUGGCAUUUCAUGAGUUAAUGACCUUUCCUACUUUAUAUUGAUUCAUGGGUUCUAAUGUCUUCAUGUUUUCCAUCUCAACGUACAACUUUUUCCUUUUGGCAGGAUUUAGAUUUAGAACACUUUGAGAUAUCAGCCCUUUAUGCCAAAGGGAAUUGAUGAUGAUGAUGUGACAACAUGAAGCUAGCAAGGGCUAGCAGAUAAUUAUAAUGCAGUGACGAGUGAAAAAGAGAGAGCACUACCAGAGAAAUGUUGCAUAACCUUUUAGUUGGCAUUCUGUUAGUUUAGUUUGAGCGCAAGUGUAAAAGGACGUCUUUCUCACAUCCUUAACAACGAUAAAAAAAACAGAGCCCUUCAUUGAUGCUUCUUGUGUGUAUGAGUGUAUC